rnacentral:rRNA from 1 species
GUAGUCAUAUGCUUGUCUCAAAGAUUAAGCCAUGCAUGUCUAAGUAUAAGCAAUUUAUACGGUGAAACUGCGAAUGGCUCAUUAAAUCAGUUAUCGUUUAUUUGAUAGUACCUUACUACAUGGAUACCUGUGGUAAUUCUAGAGCUAAUACAUGCUGAAAACCACGACUUCGGAAGGUGUGUAUUUAUUAGAUAAAAAACCAAUGCCCUUCGGGGCUCCUUGGUGAAUCAUAAUAACUUAACGAAUCGCAUGGCCUUGCGCCGGCGAUGGUUCAUUCAAAUUUCUGCCCUAUCAACUUUCGAUGGUAGGAUAGUGGCCUACCAUGGUGGCAACGGGUAACGGGGAAU